rnacentral:rRNA from 1 species
GACGAACGCUGGCGGCGUGCCUAAUACAUGCAAGUCGAACGCUUUUUCUUUCACCGGAGCUUGCUCCACCGAAAGAAAAAGAGUGGCGAACGGGUGAGUAACACGUGGGUAACCUGCCCAGCAGAAGGGGAUAACACUUGGAAACAGGCGCUAAUACCGUAUAACACUAUUUUCCGCAUGGAAGAAAGUUGAAAGGCGCUUUUGCGUCACUGAUGGAUGGACCCGCGGUGCAUUAACUAGUUGGAGAGGUAACGGCUCACCAAGGCAACGAUGCAUAGCCGACCUGAGAGGGUGAUCGGCCACACUGGGACUGAGACACGGCCCAGACUCCUACGGGAGGCAGCAGUAGGGAAUCUUCGGCAAUGGACGAAAGUCUGACCGAGCAACGCCGCGUGAGUGAAGAAGGUUUUCGGAUCGUAAAACUCUGUUGUUAGAGAAGAACAAGGAUGAGAGUAAAAUGUUCAUCCCUUGACGGUAUCUAACCAGAAAGCCACGGCUAACUACGUGCCAGCCGCCGCGGUAA